GACAGAGGGUGCAAACGUUGUUCGGAAUUACUGGGCGUAAAGCGAGUGUAGGCGGUUCGCUAAGUCGGAUGUGAAAUCCCGUGGCACCACCGGGAACUGCGUCCGAUACUGGUAGGCUUGAAUUCGGGAGAGGGAUGCGGAAUUCCAGGUGUAGCGGUGAAAUGCGUAGAUAUCUGGAGGAACACCGGUGGCGAAGGCGGCAUCCUGGACCGACAUUGACGCUGAGGCGCGAAAGCCAGGGGAGCAAACGGG
rnacentral:rRNA from 1 species